GUGCACCAGUCGAGAAAACUUCACAAUGUGCGAAAGCACGAUGAGGGAAUCCCAAGUGCUUGCACGUAAGUGUAAGCUGUUUCUCUGUCUAAAACGCAGAGAGAGUAAGGGCUGGGUAAGACGGGUGCCAGCCGCCGCGGUAAUACCUGCAGCUCGAGUGGUGACCGUUAUUAUUGGGCCUAAAACGUCCGUAGCCGGUUUAAUAAAUGCCUGGGUAAAUCGGACCGCUUAACGGUUCGAAUUCCGGGUAGACUGUUAAACUUGAGACCGGGAGAAGUUAGAGGUACUCCUGGGGUAGAGGUGAAAUUCUGUAAUCCUAGGGGACCACCAGUGGCGAAGGCGUCUAACUAGAACGGGUCUGACGGUGAGGGACGAAGCCCUGGGGCGCAAACGGGAUUAGAUACCCCCGUAGU
rnacentral:rRNA from 1 species